rnacentral:tRNA from 2 species
GGUCGGGUGGUGUAGUUGGUUAUCACAUCUCGUUAACACCGAGAAGGUCCUGGGAUCGAACCCCAGCUUGAUCA